GAAAGAAACUAACAAGGAUUCCCCUAGUAACUGCGAGUGAAGCGGGAAAAGCUCAAAUUUAAAAGCUGGCGGCUUCGUCGUCCGCGUUGUAAUCUAGAGAAGUGUUACCCGCGUUGGACCGUGUACAAGUCUCCUGGAAUGGAGCGUCAUAGAGGGUGACAAUCCCGUCUUUGACACGGACUCCCAAGGCUUUGUGGUGCGCUCUCAAAGAGUCGCGUUGUUUGGGAAUGCAGCGCAAAAUGGGUGGUAAAUUCCAUCUAAAGCUAAAUAUUGGCGAGAGACCGAUAGCGAACAAGUACCGUGAGGGAAAGAUGAAAAGAACUUUGGAAAGAGAGUUAAACAGUACGUGAAAUUGCUGAAAGGGAAACGCUUGAAGUCAGUCGCGUUGGCUGGUGAUCAACCUUGCUUUUGCUGGGCGUACUCUCCAGUUGACGGGCCAGCAUCAGUUUUGGCCACUGGAAAAGGUCAGAGGGAAUGUGGCAUCUUCGGAUGUGUUAUAGCCCUCUGUCGUAUACAGUGGCUGGGACUGAGGAACUCAGCACGCCGAAAGGCCGGGAAUAUAUCCACGUUCGUGCUUAGGAUGCUGGCAUAAUGGCUUUAAUCGACCCGUCUUGAAACACGGACCAAGGAGUCUAACAUGCCUGCGAGUGUUUGGGUGGAAAACCCGAGCGCGUAAUGAAAGUGAAAGUUGAGAUCCCUGUCGUGGGGAGCAUCGACGCCCGGACCAGACCUUCUGUGACGGAUCUGCGGUAGAGCAUGUAUGUUGGGACCCGAAAGAUGGUGAACUAUGCCUGAAUAGGGUGAAGCCAGAGGAAACUCUGGUGGAGGCUCGUAGCGAUUCUGACGUGCAAAUCGAUCGUCAAAUUUGGGUAUAGGGGCGAAAGACUAAUCGAACCAUCUAGUAGCU
rnacentral:rRNA from 1 species